CUACGGACUUAAUUGGAUUGAGCCUUGGUAUGGAAACUUACCAGGUGAAAACUUUCAAAUUCAGAGAAACCCUGGAAUUAAAAAUGGGCAAUCCUGAGCCAAAUCCUUCUUUCCGAAAACAAAUAAAUAAAAGUUUAGAAAGUGAAAAUCAAAAAAGGAUAGGUGCAGAGACUCAAUGGAAGCUGUUCUAACAAAUGGAGUUGACAACAUUUACUCUUUCAAUAGAAUAAUCUUGAUUGAUCAAAUCAGUCACUCCACCAUAGUCUGAUGGAUCUUUUGAAUAACUGAUUAAUCAGACGAGAAUAAAGAUAGAGUCCCAUUCUACAUGUCAAUACCGA
rfam:Medicago truncatula cultivar Paraggio plastid, complete genome.